AAAAGAGCUUGAUCUGAGAUGUAAUAAGAUCAGAGACUCAAAGCAGCAGCUCAUUGAUGUGCUACGAGACUCAAACUGUAAACUGAGUGUAGAUCAAAAUCCAUAACCAGAAACCUGUGAUAGAGUUCAAUCACAAGAAAUAUAUGAAGGAGUUCAAUCACUAAAAAUGCUGUUUUGAAGUCGACUUGAGAGGAGCACUAAACAUCAAAUGAAGAUCCACAGAAGAGCGGCGCUACACUGUUAGACUUUUUUCUGUAUUUGUACUGUAACUUCCUGGCAGCCCUAUGGCUACUAAGUUACUGUGUCUUUACAGCCGUUUACCUGUAUAUGUGUUUUACAAUAUGAUGCCGUUACCAGAGUUUCAUUUUACAGUAUGAUACUCUUACUGCAACUUACUUUUACAGCACAACACUAAAGUUUUGUGUCCAUGUAUCAACCUCUGCCUAGUGUUUGGAUAUUGUUUGCCAAUCAACUGACCUUCGCCCCCUCUCUGUGUCUGGCAGAGCCAGAUCUGUUUGCUGUUUCUUUGACCUAUAGCACUGGGUUGUUUUAAAUAUUGUUUGUCAAAUAUUGUUUGAAAAUUGCUGUUCCUGGCUUAAAAUGAAUGAAAAACAGAUAGAAAUUAAAAAGCAGACACCAAAUUACUAGAGAAAACCAUAAUAAUCAAAAUAAAAGCAUAUUAAUAAGUGAAAGCAUAAAAUAAAUAUGGCAGAUUGAAUUAUGCAGCACAGUUUUCAACUUCACAUACAUUUCAACUCCUUUAACAAGCAUUUUAGAAAGAGUAUUAAAUGGUUCCCUCUUGUCCUUUUUAACUGACACAGUUAAAUUCCAGGCGUUGACCUCUCGUCUGUAUGUUGCAUUGCGGCUUUGUACAUGAAAAAAAUUAUAGCACGAUAAAAGACACUUCUUAGUGUGGUGGAAUAAUUUUCACUGAAGAAGUCCAGUAAGUUGGCGGGGCUCAGGACUCUCUCAGAAUGAAAACCCUGCGCUCCGAAUAUGAGUGUUAAAACUUUAUUUUACUUUUUAUUUUCCAUUUUUAUUGUCAAGUGAUACUACAUGCAUCACGAUUUAAUCAAUUCAAAACUGAGGUGUAUCCGAAAGCCAUAAACUAGCAUUGCUUUAUUAUAUUAUACUUUCCACGUUAAUGAUUAAUAGACUAUAAUUCGCUCCACACGUGACUGUCUGUAUGUCUGAAUCGGCAACUGUUUUAUUUGAUGGUAAUUUGAUACGCUCUUUUAUUGACGUUUUGUGGUUUUAUAUGGGUUUUUGACGAUUUACCGUUUCCAAAGCAAAACCUGCACGACACCUCCAAACUGUACCAGUCUCGUUCCCGGAAAACCGAGGACUUGGCAACAGGGCUCGGCUCUCGGCGAUGACGUCACCACGCACGCACGCACGCGCAGCCAGCGUCAUUCACGUUGCUUUCUUUGCGUCUACAACCAAAUGCAUUUGGGGUCACUUGGGGUUCGGGUCAUUUCUGCCUUGUUUUGGUCUGGUGCAGCGCUGUUUGUGCCUCUGCAGAUUAUAACAACGAGCUUAUCUGCUCCUCCUCAAGUGAAGCUCCUUUCACUGCAGUUCAACAAUAAAAUAUCCCCAUCAGUCUUCAAGUGAAGGCGAGC